AUUGAACGCUGGCGGCAUGCCUUACACAUGCAAGUCGAACGGCAGCAUGAUCUAGCUUGCUAGAUUGAUGGCGAGUGGCGAACGGGUGAGUAAUACAUCGGAACGUGCCCUGUAGUGGGGGAUAACUAGUCGAAAGAUUAGCUAAUACCGCAUACGACCUGAGGGUGAAAGUGGGGGACCGCAAGGCCUCAUGCUAUAGGAGCGGCCGAUGUCUGUUUAGCUAGUUGGUGAGGUAAAGGCUCACCAAGGCGACGAUCAGUAGCUGGUCUGAGAGGACGAUCAGCCACACUGGGACUGAGACACGGCCCAGACUCCUACGGGAGGCAGCAGUGGGGAAUUUUGGACAAUGGGGGCAACCCUGAUCCAGCAAUGCCGCGUGUGUGAAGAAGGCCUUCGGGUUGUAAAGCACUUUUGUCCGGGAAGAAAUCGCACUUACUAAUAUUAGGUGUGGAUGACGGUACCGGAAGAAUAAGGACCGGCUAACUACGUGCCAGCCGCCGCCGUAAAAC
rnacentral:rRNA from 1 species